rnacentral:rRNA from 1 species
UACGUAGGGUGCAAGCGUUAAUCGGAAUUACUGGGCGUAAAGCGUGCGCAGGCGGUUAUGUAAGACAGGUAGUGAAAUCCCCGGGCUCAACCUGGGAACUGCGUUUGUGACUGCAUAGACUCGAGUACGGCAGAGGGGAGUGGAAUUCCGCGUGUAGCAGUGAAAUGCGUAGAUAUGCGGAGGAACACCGAUGGCGAAGGCAGCCUCCUGGGCCAGUACUGACGCUCAUGCACGAAAGCGUGGGGAGCAAACAGGAUUAGAAA